GCGGCGGUGGCCCAGUUGGUAAUGAGUCAUACUUCUAACUAAUAUGUGCGGUAUGCGGGCGUUCAAACCCUCCUGCUGCC